rnacentral:tRNA from 1 species
GCCAUAGUGGCGCACUGGUACAUCGUCGGACUGUAAAUGCGAUGAUCGUGGGUUCGAUCCCCAUUCGUGGGA